UACGUAGGGGGCAAGCGUUGUUCGGAAUUCUUGGGCGUAAAGAGCUCGUUGGCGGUCUGUCGCGUCGGCUGUGAAAUCCCGAGGCUCAACCUCGGGUCUGCAGUCGAUACGGGCAAACUAGAGUAUUGCAGGGGAGACUGGAAUUCCUGGUGUAGCGGUGAAAUGCGCAGAUAUCAGGAGGAACACCGGUGGCGAAGGCGGGUCUCUGGGCAAUAACUGACGCUGAGGAGCGAAAGCGUGGGGAGCGAACAGG
rnacentral:rRNA from 1 species